rnacentral:rRNA from 1 species
GCGGCGGACGGGUGAGUAACACGUGGGUAACCUGCCUGUAAGACUGGGAUAACUCCGGGAAACCGGGGCUAAUACCGGAUGGUUGUUUGAACCGCAUGGUUCAGACAUAAAAGGUGGCUUCGGCUACCACUUACAGAUGGACCCGCGGCGCAUUAGCUAGUUGGUGAGGUAACGGCUCACCAAGGCGACGAUGCGUAGCCGACCUGAGAGGGUGAUCGGCCACACUGGGACUGAGACACGGCCCAGACUCCUACGGGAGGCAGCAGUAGGGAAUCUUCCGCAAUGGACGAAAGUCUGACGGAGCAACGCCGCGUGAGUGAUGAAGGUUUUCGGAUCGUAAAGCUCUGUUGUUAGGGAAGAACAAGUGCCGUUCAAAUAGGGCGGCACCUUGACGGUACCUAACCAGAAAGCCACGGCUAACUACGUGCCAGCAGCCGCGGUAAUACGUAGGUGGCAAGCGUUGUCCGGAAUUAU